CCAGGUGUGUGUGUGUGUGUGUGUGUGUGUGUGUGUGUGUGUGUGGGUUUGUGACUGUGUCAGCACUCGGCUGCAGGCAGGCACUGAG
rnacentral:miRNA from 11 species